rnacentral:rRNA from 1 species
UACGAAGGGGGCUAGCGUUGUUCGGAUUUACUGGGCGUAAAGCGCGCGUAGGCGGGUCACUAAGUCAGGGGUGAAAUCCCGAGGCUUAACCUCGGAACUGCCUUUGAUACUGGUGACCUGGAGAUCGGGAGAGGUUGGUGGAAUUCCGAGUGUAGAGGUGAAAUUCGUAGAUAUUCGGAGGAACACCAGAAGCGAAGGCGGCCAACUGGUCCGAUACUGACGCUGAGGCGCGAAAGCGUGGGGAGCAAACAGG